UAGCAAUCAGCGAGACUCUGUGGGCAUAGGACCCUCCGAGCCAGGUGUGAGAUAUAAUCUCCUGGUGCGCGGUUUUUUAAGCCCGUCGGAAAAGCGCAGUAUUCAGGUGGGAGUGACCCGAUUUUCGGGAACUCCCUGACCCCUUGCGCUUCCCAGGUGAGGCAAUGCCUCUCCCUGCUUUGGCUCGCGCACGGUGCGCACACCCACUGACCUGCACCCAGUGUCUGGCACUCCCUAGUGAGAUGAACCCGGUACCUCAGAUGGAAAUGCAGAUAUCACCCGUCUUCUGUGUCGCUCACGCUGGGAGCUGUAGACCGGAGCUGUUCCUAUUCGGCCAUCUUGGCUCCCAAAUCCCAGAUAACAAAAUUCUGUUCUUCAUGGAUGAAGUACAACUGGAAAAGUUCUAUGGCAUUUUGAUUGAUUUAAUCUCUAGGAGACACUCCAGUUCAAGGACAGCAAGGAGUGACUACAGAUCAAAAAGAAAGCUAGAAGCAAGCAAGCAAGGAAGAAAUGAGGAAAAAAGGCA
ensembl:lncRNA novel transcript